GAUUAGAAGCAGGCUAAUUAACAAUGUUUUUGACCUUGCAGAGGAAGGGUGUUUAUAAGGCAGAAGUGGACAAACCAUUAAAGGGAUGGAGAGGAUUCUUUAUAGAGGUCACUUUCCCAGGACCUGGGGGCCAUACCCACGUGUUCACCUCAGAGCUACACAUCAUUCCAGACACAUUUCCGUGCACAGACUGCAAAGGAGAGCAAUGCUAUGGGAAACUGGUGUAACACCAGGUGGAGAGGCUGGGACUUGUG
rnacentral:lncRNA from 11 species